rnacentral:rRNA from 1 species
UACGUAGGGUGCAAGCGUUGUUCGGAAUUACUGGGCGUAAAGGGCUCGUAGGCGGCCCUCUCAGUCGGAUGUGAAAUCCCCAGGCUUAACCUGGGAACGGCAUCCGAUACUGGAGGGCUUGAAUUCGGGAGAGGGAUGCAGAAUUCCAGGUGUAGCGGUGAAAUGCGUAGAUAUCUGGAGGAAUACCGGUGGCGAAGGCGGCAUCCUGGACCGAGAUUGACGCUGAGGAGCGAAAGCUAGGGGAGCAAACGGG